GACGAACGCUGGCGGCGUGCUUAACACAUGCAAGUCGAACGGAAAGGCCCUGCUUUUGUGGGGUGCUCGAGUGGCGAACGGGUGAGUAACACGUGAGUAACCUGCCCUUGACUUUGGGAUAACUUCAGGAAACUGGGGCUAAUACCGGAUAGGAGCUCCUGCUGCAUGGUGGGGGUUGGAAAGUUUCGGCGGUUGGGGAUGGACUCGCGGCUUAUCAGCUUGUUGGUGGGGUAGUGGCUUACCAAGGCUUUGACGGGUAGCCGGCAUGAGAGGGUGACCGGCCACAUUGGGACUGCGAGACGGCCCAGACUCCUACGGGCGGCAGCAGUGGGGAAUAUUGCACAAUGGGCGGAAGCCUGAUGCAGCAACGCCGCGUGCGGGAUGCCGUCCUUCGGGUUGUAAACCGCUUUCGCCUUUGACGAAGCGUGAGUGACGGUAAUGGGUAAAGAAGCACCGGCUAACUACGUG
rnacentral:rRNA from 1 species